rnacentral:rRNA from 1 species
UGGGGAAUAUUGGACAAUGGGCGAAAGCCUGAUCCAGCCAUGCCGCGUGUGUGAAGAAGGUCUUCGGAUUGUAAAGCACUUUAAGUUGGGAGGAAGGGCAUUAACCUAAUACGUUAGUGUUUUGACGUUACCGACAGAAUAAGCACCGGCUAACUCUGUGCCAGCAGCCGCGGUAAUACAGCGGGUGCACGCGUUAAUCGGAAUUACUGGGCGUAAAGCGCGCGUAGGUGGUUUGUUAAGUUGGAUGUGAAAUCCCCGGGCUCAACCUGGGAACUGCAUUCAAAACUGACUGACUAGAGUAUGGUAGAGGGUGGUGGAAUUUCCUGUGUAGCGGUGAAAUGCGUAGAUAUAGGAAGGAACACCAGUGGCGAAGGCGACCACCUGGACUAAUACUGACACUGAGGUGCGAAAGCGUGGGGAGCAAACA